rnacentral:rRNA from 1 species
UGGAAGUAAAAGUCGUAACAAGGUUUCUGUAGGUGAACCUGCAGAAGGAUCAUUAUUUAUAAAAAAUGGAGUGCACUUUAUUGUGGCUCUGAACCUUUCACAUAAUCUUACCCCAAGACUUGUUUGUGUGGCAUCUUUUAGGUGACAUUGCACUCAGGUAUACGUAGCAGUUAUGCUACAUUCUCCCCCCCCCACCCUUUUUUUUUUAACAAUUUUUUUAACACAAGUUUGAGCUAAGAAUGUAAACAUUUAUUAAUUAUAUAAAUAACUUUUAACAAUGGAUCUCUAGGCUCUCAUAUCGAUGAAGAACACAGUGAAAUGUGAUAAGUAAUGUGAAUUGCAGAAUUCAGUGAAUCAUUGAAUCUUUGAACGCACCUUGCACCUUUUGGUAUUCCAAAAGGUACACCUGUUUGAGUGUCAUGAAAAUCUCUCAUCAAAAUAAUUUUUGGUGGAUGUUGAGUGCUGCUGCUAUCUAGCUCACUUUAAAUAUAUAAGUCUUUUUAUUCUUCUGUUUGUUGGAUUGACUUGGUGUAAUAUUUUUAUCAUCAAGGAAAGUAGCAAUACUUGCCAACGUUUUUGGAAAAAGGACUCCUAAAUUGAUUUUAAAUCAUUUUUAUUUUUAAGACCUCAAAUCAGGUGGGACUACCUGCUGAACUUAAGCAUAUCAAUAAGCGGAGGA